UAUACACAUGCAAGUCGAGGGGUAACAGGAGUGCUUGCACUCGCUGACGACCGGCGCACGGGUGCGUAACGCGUAUAGAAUCUACCUUGUAGUAAGGGAUAGCCCAGAGAAAUUUGGAUUAAUACCUUAUAGUAUCUUAAGUGAGCAUUCACUAAGGAUUAAAGAUUUAUUGCUAUAAGAUGACUAUGCGUUCUAUUAGCUAGUUGGUAUGGUAACGGCAUACCAAGGCUACGAUAGAUAGGGGUCCUGAGAGGGAGAUCCCCCACACUGGUACUGAGACACGGACCAGACUCCUACGGGAGGCAGCAGUGAGGAAUAUUGGACAAUGGAGGCAACUCUGAUCCAGCCAUGCCGCGUGUAGGAAGACUGCCCUAUGGGUUGUAAACUACUUUUAUAGAGGAAGAAACAAUAUUACGUGUAAUAUUCUGACGGUACUCUACGAAUAAGGAUCGGCUAACUCCGUGCCAGCAGCCGCGGUAAUACGGAGGAUCCAAGCGUUAUCCGGAAUCAUUGGGUUUAAAGGGUCCGUAGGCGGGUUUGUAAGUCAGUGGUGAAAGUUUUCGGCUCAACCGGAAAAUUGCCAUUGAUACUGCAAGUCUUGAAUCAUUGUGAAGUGGUUAGAAUGUGUAGUGUAGCGGUGAAAUGCAUAGAUAUUACACAGAAUACCGAUUGCGAAGGCAGAUCACUAACAAUUGAUUGACGCUAAGGGACGAAAGCGUGGGUAGCGAACAGGAUUAGAUACCCUGGUAGUCCACGCCGUAAACGAUGGUUACUAGCUGUUCGGACUUCGGUCUGAGUGGCUAAGCGAAAGUGAUAAGUAACCCACCUGGGGAGUACGUUCGCAAGAAUGAAACUCAAAGGAAUUGACGGGGGCCCGCACAAGCGGUGGAGCAUGUGGUUUAAUUCGAUGAUACGCGAGGAACCUUACCAGGGCUUAAAUGUAGAUUGACAGGUUUAGAGAUAGACUUUCCUUCGGGCAAUUUACAAGGUGCUGCAUGGUUGUCGUCAGCUCGUGCCGUGAGGUGUCAGGUUAAGUCCUAUAACGAGCGCAACCCCUGUUGUUAGUUGCCAGCGAGUCAUGUCGGGAACUCUAGCAAGACUGCCGGUGCAAACCGCGAGGAAGGUGGGGAUGACGUCAAA
rnacentral:rRNA from 1 species